rnacentral:rRNA from 1 species
UACGAACGCUGGCGGCGUGCUUAACACAUGCAAGUCGAACGAUGACGACCGAGCUUGCUCGGUCUGAUUAGUGGCGAACGGGUGAGUAACACGUGAGCAACCUGCCCUUCACUCUGGGAUAACCUCGGGAAAUCGGGGCUAAUACCGGAUAUGAGCUCCUGUCGCAUGGCGGGUGUUGGAAAGUUUUUCGGUGAAGGAUGGGCUCGCGGCCUAUCAGUUUGUUGGUGAGGUAGUGGCUCACCAAGGCGAUGACGGGUAGCCGGCCUGAGAGGGCGACCGGCCACACUGGGACUGAGACACGGCCCAGACUCCUACGGGAGGCAGCAGUGGGGAAUAUUGCACAAUGGGCGAAAGCCUGAUGCAGCGACGCCGCGUGAGGGAUGACGGCCUUCGGGUUGUAAACCUCUUUCAGCAGGGAAGAAGCGAAAGUGACGGUACCUGCAGAAGAAGCGCCGGCUAACUACGUG